AGGGAUACCCGCUGAACUUAAGCAUAUCAAUAAGCGGAGGAAAAGAAACCAACAGGGAUUGCCUCAGUAACGGCGAGUGAAGCGGCAACAGCUCAAAUUUGAAAUCUGGCCCUCCCGGGUCCGAGUG
rnacentral:rRNA from 1 species